CUAGCUCCGCGGCGCGACGACCAGGCUGGGAAUAGCUUGUUUAGGGUCUCCUGCUUGGCCGAGGAUAGAGUGGAGCGAAAUGUCUUGGAAACCUCAAUGAGGUUGCCGAGCACUAGGGAUGAAAACGGAUCGGAUACGGACGGAUAUCACUGAUAUCAUAUUUGUUUUCAUAUUUCUGGUCGGAUUCGGAUUCGAAUACGGAUAAUGUCAACCAUGUCAGAUAAGAUAUGAUUGAAUGUCGACAUCACAAAUAUACGAUUUAAAUAUUCGGAUACAGAUACAGUAUCGGAUGUUGAAUAUUCGGACUCGGAUACGGACAGAUCUGAACCCCUCUAAACGAAUUCGAUCUCAAAUACGGUCGGAAAAUAUUCGUACCGUUUUCAUCCCUACCGAGCACGGUGGCUGCAGUAUUGGAUGUGUUUGGUUUCCUAGGCUGCUUCUAGUCGGGCUAGUCAUCUAAGUCAGGGCAGCCUAGGCCUGCUUCCACGAGUCAAUCUUAAGUUAUUGUUUGGUUCACUGGUACAGGACCGGCCUUUUAUCCCUGUCAAAAACCACUUGUAGUCCCGGGUGGCGAGCCAGGACUAAGGGAUCGAGACUAAAAGUCCCACCUUUAGUCCUGGCUCGCCGGCCCGGGACCAACCGGGACUACAGGGGGCGCCAGACAGUGACGUGGCGCAACCUCUGGCCAUCCCUUUUAGUCCCGGUUGGUAUUAACAACCGGGACUAAAGGGUUUUUUUCUUUUUCUUUUUCUUUUUCUUUUUCCAUUUCAUUUCUUUAUUGAUUUUGGUUUUCAAUUGUAUAUGUUCUCCAAUUUAUUCGUAUACGCCGCUAUUAUCCGUAUACGUUGCACCUAUAUAAUAAUAUUUUGUAAUAAUAAUAUUUACACAUUACACAUUACACAUAUUAUAUAGCUAUACACAUACGUACAUACACAUUACAUUUACAAUAAUAAUAUUUUGUACAAGUAAUAAUCAAGUGUGCUGCCACCGGAUAAUGAUUACAUAAUGUUUGCUCGCCCACUCAAAGCUCAUACAAGUGUUCGUCCUUGUUUGGAAUGGGCUUGAAGCCCUGCGGGUAUAAGUGGAACUCGCCGUCUUCCGAAAUGACAUGAUCGUUGAUAAAUCCGGCGAUCGUCUCCUGGACUCUAAGGAGUAAUGUGUACUCGAACACUUUAUCUUUCAUAUUCUACUCCUUCCAUUUGCAUUAGUUAAAAAGAUAUUAAUAUACAUAAAAUCUAUUUAGUUCCAACAAAUAAAUAAGAUAUGAAUUUACUGUAUACACAUGCAUGUUACUUACUUUUAGAACACUUUGAGCAGGUUUAAAUAGGGUGCACCGCAUAAAUUCACAAACAUAGUAUCCACAUAGAUUUGUUCCAAACGGCUACGUGGGCACCCAAGGGAGUAGAACAGGAGGAGGAAGUGACACAUUCAUAUCCGUACGAUAUUUUUGUUGUAGCCAAAGCCCAAGCUCUGUCCAAUAAGACGGUCGUUGAUUAGGUAUAGCUAGCAUAAUAAAGUAAAGGAGCACGCAUCGAUAUUUAAAGUAUGAUAUAUACUUACCUCUUGAUCAUGUCUAUUAUGUCUUGAUAGAGUGCCAGGUCUUUUUUCAUUGAGUCCCACACAUUUAUUUUUUGUUCCGUGAUCUUAAUCUCAAUGAGUAUCCAAUGAUCUCUGUAUUUGUUUAGAGUCAACUUAUAUAUGUAUAUCUUAAUGCCGGUUUAACUAAGACAUGAUAUAACACAACACUUACCCCAUAUUGUAAGGGAAGAGUAUCUUCUCCGUAUGCCUUUGGUUAUAAAAGAACCUCCGGAGGUUCUUCUCCAUUUCCUUAGGCUUCAGAUUCAAUGGAUCUUUAGUCUUAGUGUUCUUGUACA
rnacentral:lncRNA from 1 species